AGCUGGGUAGCGAACCAGGAUUAGAUANCCUGGUAGUCCACGCCGGUAAACGAUGAUUACUCGAUGCUGGCGAUAUACUGUCAGUGUCCAAGCGAAAGUGUUAAGUAAUCCACCUGGGGAGUACGAUCGCAAGAUUGAAACUCAAAGGAAUUGACGGGGGCCCGGACAAGCGGAGGAACAUGUGGUUUAAUUCGAUGAUACGCGAGGAACCUUACCUGGGCUUAAAUGCAAGAUGACAGGCUGGGAAACCAGUCCUUCUUCGGACAACUUGCAAGGUGCUGCAUGGCUGUCGUCAGCUCGUGCCGUGAGGUGUCGGGUUAAGUCCCAUAACGAGCGCAACCCCUAUUCUUAGUUGCCAGCGGAUAAUGCCGGGGACUCUAAGAAAACUGCCCGCGCAAGCGGAGAGGAAGGUGGGGAUGACGUCAAGUCAGCACGGCCCUUACGUCCAGGGCAACACACGUGUUACAAUGGCUGGUACAGAGGGCAGCUACCUGGUAACAGGAUGCUAAUCUCUAAAACCGGUCUCAGUUCGGAUCGAAGUCUGCAACUCGACUUCGUGAAGUCGGAUUCGCUAGUAAUCGCGCAUCAGUAUGCGCGGUG
rnacentral:rRNA from 1 species